GCAAUGGUGGUUCAGUGGUAGGAUCUCACCUUUCUUCCAGAAGACCUGGGUUAGAUUCCUAGCCAACGCA
rnacentral:tRNA from 1 species